GGGGCUGUAGCUCAGUGGUAAAGCACUUGCCUCACAUGUAUGAGGCACUGGGUUCAAUCCUCAGCACCACA
rnacentral:tRNA from 1 species